CUUANNNNUGCAGUCGAGCGGACAGAUGGGAGCUUGCUCCCUGAUGUUAGCGGCGGACGGGUGAGNNNNNCGUGGGUAACCUGCCUGUAAGACUGGGAUAACUCCGGGAAACCGGGGCUAAUACCGGAUGGUUGUUUGNACCGCAUGGUUCAAACAUAAAAGGUGGCUUCGGCUACCACUUACAGAUGGACCCGCGGCGCAUUAGCUAGUUGGUGAGGUAANGGCUCACCAAGGCAACGAUGCGUAGCCGACCUGAGAGGGUGAUCGGCCACACUGGGACUGAGACACGGCCCAGACUCCUACGGGAGGCAGCAGUAGGGAAUCUUCCGCAAUGGACGAAAGUCUGACGGAGCAACGCCGCGUGAGUGAUGAAGGUUUUCGGAUCGUAAAGCUCUGUUGUUAGGGAAGAACAAGUACCGUUCGAAUAGGGCGGUACCUUGACGGUACCUAACCAGAAAGCCACGGCUAACUACGUGCCAGCAGCCGCGGUAAUACGUAGGUGGCHHGBNUUGUCCGGAAUUAUUGGGCGUAAAGGGCUCGCAGGCGGUUUCUUAAGUCUGAUGUGAAAGCCCCCGGCUCANCCGGGGAGGGUCAUUGGAAACUGGGGAACUUGAGUGCAGAAGAGGAGAGUGGAAUUCCACGUGUAGCGGUGAAAUGCGUAGAGAUGUGGAGGAACACCAGUGGCGAAGGCGACUCUCUGGUCUGUAACUGACGCUGAGGAGCGAAAGCGUGGGNAGCGAACCAGGAAUAUAGAUACCNUGGUUAGUCCACGCCGUAAACGAUGAGUGCUAAAGUGUUAGGGGGUUUCCGCCCCUUAGUGCUGCAGCUAACGCAUUAAGCACUCCGCCUGGGGAGUACGGUCGCAAGACUGAAACUCAAANGGAAUUGACGGGGGCCCGCACAAGCGGUGGAGCAUGUGGUUUAAUUCGAAAGCAACGCGAAAGAACCUUACCAGGUCUUGACAUCCUCUGACAAUCCUAGAGAUAGGACGUCCCCUUCGGGGGCAGAGUGACAGGUGGUGCAUGGUUGUCGUCAGCUCGUGUCGUGAGAUGUUGGGUUAAGUCCCGCAACGAGCGCAACCCUUGAUCUUAGUUGCCAGCAUUCAGUUGGGCACUCUAAGGUGACUGCCGGUGACAAACCGGAGGAAGGUGGGGAUGACGUCAAAUCAUCAUGCCCCUUAUGACCUGGGCUACACACGUGCUACAAUGNACAGAACAAAGGGCCAGCGAAACCGCGAGGUUAAGCCNAUCCCACAAAUCUGGUUCUCAGUUCGGAAUCNGCCAGUCUGCAACUCGACUGCGUGAAGCUGGAAUCGCUAGUAAUCGCGGAUNNGCAUGCCGCGGUGAAUACGUUCCCGGGCCUUGUACACANNGNCNGUCACACCACGAGAGUUUGUAACACCCGAAGUCGGUGAGGUAACCUUUUAGGA
rnacentral:rRNA from 1 species